AUUGAACGCUGGCGGCAGGCCUAACGCAUGCAAGUCGAGCGGAUGAAGGGAGCUUGCUCCUGGAUUCAGCGGCGGACGGGUGAGUAAUGCCUAGGAAUCUGCCUGGUAGUGGGGGAUAACGUCCGGAAACGGGCGCUAAUACCGCAUACGUCCUGAGGGAGAAAGUGGGGGAUCUUCGGACCUCACGCUAUCAGAUGAGCCUAGGUCGGAUUAGCUAGUUGGUGGGGUAAAGGCCUACCAAGGCGACGAUCCGUAACUGGUCUGAGAGGAUGAUCAGUCACACUGGAACUGAGACACGGUCCAGGCUCCUACGGGAGGCAGCAGUGGGGAAUAUUGGACAAUGGGCGAAAGCCUGAUCCAGCCAUGCCGCGUGUGUGAAGAAGGUCUUCGGAUUGUAAAGCACUUUAAGUUGGGAGGAAGGGCAGUAAGUUAAUACCUUGCUGUUUUGACGUUACCAACAGAAUAAGCACCGGCUAACUUCGUG
rnacentral:rRNA from 1 species